AUACGGAGGAUGCAAGCGUUAUCCGGAUUUAUUGGGUUUAAAGGGUGCGUAGGCGGUUUGCUAAGCGGGAGGUGAAAUGCCGGCGCUCAACGUCGGAAGUGCCUCCCGAACUGGUGGACUGGAAUGACUCUGCCGUGGGAGGAAUGUGUAGUGUAGCGGUGAAAUGCUUAGAGAUUACGCAGAACACCGAUUGCGAAGGCAUCUCACGAAGGGUUGAUUGACGCUGAGGCACGAAAGCGUGGGGAUCAAACAGGAUUAGAUACCCUGGUAGUCCACGCAGUAAACGAUGAUGGCUAACCGCUGGUUUUUUCGGAUCAGUGGCCAAGCGAAAGCGAUAAGCCAUCCACCUGGGGAGUACGACCGCAAGGUUGAAACUCAAAUGAAUUGACGGGG
rnacentral:rRNA from 1 species